CUUCAGAUAAGAAAUGAAUUUUGACUGAAGACUGAUCCAGAUUGUUCUCUCGUGCAGCUGUGAAUCCUCUUCAUAACAGACUGCAGCAGUGGUUCCAGGUGACUGCUCCUGGUCAACAUGAGAAAAAAAGACAUUUCAAAACUGCAUCCCAUCAAACAUCUUCUGUGGAUCAAACCAACAACACGUACUCGCAGCAGUCCCAUGAAUCCCAGCAUGGCUCUUCCUCAUCUAAGGGUCCUUCAUCCACUGAAUCCUCAGAGGAAGACAAGUAGCACGAUGGGACAGAAGAUCAGAAACACAAACACUGAUCAGAUUCUGAAAGAAUCUGUCAAAUAAAACAGCAGAGCAUAUAACAGUCAUGUUGGCGACCUCAC